ACAACAGACCGCCUUAUCGACUCAUUUUAAAGAUGAGUAGGAAAGUCCGGACACCAUAGGGAAGCAUAGCGGGUAACACCCGUCGGUUUGUUUUGAAUUUUUCAAAAUAGAUUAGGACAAGUGCAACAGAAAGUAUGUACAGGUAAUGCUGUAGUGAAACCAGGUAAACUCUAUGCGGUGAAAUAUCAAGUAUAUCAGCAUUUAAGAGCGUCUCGUUCGUUGCUGAAGGGUAGAUAGCUUGAGUCAUACAGUAAUGUAUGAUCUAGAUAAAUGAUAAGGCUUCAAUUUAUUGGAGACAGAAUCCGGCUUAUAGGUCUGUAUUUUUU
rnacentral:RNase_P_RNA from 1 species